AUGCUUAUACACAACAAUUCUGAAAUUUUCUUGCACGAGCAAAAAGCUGACAUCUUAAAAUCUUAUUUCCAACAACUCAUCGGGACCACCAAAACUGCUACCUGGAACUUCAGUUUGCUCCAGCUUUACCCCUCACCUCUACCUCAGCUUCGUGAUCUUGCACACCCGUUCUCCCACGACGAAAUUCAUCAAGCCUUUCUAACCAUGAACACAAACGCCAGCCCUAGCCCGGACGGAUUUGGACCUGUCUUCUUUCGAAAAUUCUGGAAUGAAAUCAAACACUCCAUCUUCCCAUUCUUUUCUGCCUUCCAUGAUCAAAAAGCUUUGCUCGAUCGCUUCAAUCGUGCCUUCAUGGUUCUCCUCCCCAAAACCCAGGCCCCAACCUCUCCCGAUGCUUUUCAACCAAUCUCACUACAAAACUGCAGUCCAAAAGUUGUGGCCAAGGUUCUCACAAACGGAGUAAAACCCCUUAUCCCGCUUCUCAUUCACUAUGACCAGGGCUUCCUACACGGACGCAACAGUGCCGAAAAUUUCAUUUAUGCUGCUGACAUCCUCAGCGCUUACCACACAAGAAAAGCCCCGACCAUGGUCUUCAAGCUUGAUUUCAGGAAAGCUUUUGACUCCAUUUGCUGGUCCUCCCUCUUUGCAAUCUUAUAA
rnacentral:rRNA from 1 species